AGUUCUGUAUUCACAGAACCGAAACCGAGAGGAGGAGAAAAAGAAAGGAGAAGAAGAAGAAGUCGCCGCCAUCCUUUUGUUCCGCCGCCGUCCGUCGCCGACCGCCUCGCCGUUGUUCCUCGUCGCCGUCUGCCACUUUAGCCAUUAUGUCAUAUCGACGAUCAACUUUUAUGGAGACGGACGAUAUGUUCCUCCAGUUUGAGGACGAUUUAGAUAAUAACAUCGCGGGAGGGUCAUCAUCUGUGGGCGACAAUACGGAGUCUUCUUCUCAACAAACGACUCCGACUCCUAGGAGACGUGCGCAGUCUCGACUCUUGGAGUUAGAGCGCCACGUUGCAAUAAAUGGGCGCAUUCCGAUGACGAUCGCCCCUGGAGCAGAGAAGCCUAUUUCUCCACACGCCGUUCGCUUCAGCCAGGCGAUAGGCGUGUGCGUGCGAAAGACAUUUCCCGUCCGCUGUCUUAAGUGGACGGACGUUGGGAGAGAAUACAUUGAGGUCGUCAAGGGCGACCUCCAGGUAAUUAAAUGCACUACACAUUUAUAUAUGAUUUCAUUUGAAACAUAUC